GACGAACGCUGGCGGCGUGCUUAACACAUGCAAGUCACGGGGGCCCGCAAGGGUAACCAGCGAACGGGUGCGUAACACGUGAGCAAGCUUCCGAUUUGUGGGGGAUAGCCGGCCCAACGGCCGGGUAAUACCGCAUACGUUCACUGGACGGCAUCGUCUGGUGAGGAAACCUCCGGGGCAAAUCGAGGCGCUCGCGGCCUAUCAGCUAGUUGGCGGGGUAACGGCCCACCAAGGCUAUGACGGGUAGCUGGUCUGAGAGGAUGGCCAGCCACAUUGGGACUGCGACACGGCCCAGACUCCUACGGGAGGCAGCAGUGGGGAAUAUUGCGCAAUGGACGAAAGUCUGACGCAGCGACGCCGCGUGUGGGAUGAAGCCUUUCGGGGCGUAAACCACUGUUGCCCGGGACGAACCUCUCCUUUCGAGGAGACUGACGGUACCGGGUGAGGAAGCACCGGCUAACUCUGUGCCAGCAGCCGCGGUAAUACAGAGGGUGCGAGCG
rnacentral:rRNA from 1 species